rnacentral:lncRNA from 1 species
GGUCGACGGCGCAGCGAGCAGGGCGGCCGGCCAGCGGGGCAGUCCUUUUUUUUCUCUUUUCUAUUUUGGGAAAAGGUCAUCACCGCCGAUUCUAGGGUCGUGAUAGAUCUCCUUAUCCCCAUCGACGUAUAUCCAACGCCCCCCAAAACCGGCGGUGAUGGCAAUUUCGAACCGGCGGUGAUAAGAGGGCGCUGGAGUAGUGUAGUGACCACAUUAGCCAUACAGACAUUGAUUCAUCCAGAAGCAAGUCCAAACAUUCAGCAUGACAAAAAAUCACUCUAGUCAUACAAACAUUGGUUCAUCUCAUAAUGUCACUUAACAUCAUACUCUUUAACAGUAUGCAUCUAUCCUACC